rnacentral:ncRNA from 1 species
ACGAAGGACUAAACAUAUAGCAGGAGUGACCUAGAAAAGGCUAGAGUUAAACUGUUGGAACCCGAAAGAUUGUGACCUAUGCUUGUGGUGUUUGAAACCGAAGGAAACUUUGGUAGAAGGACUAAGGAGUGUUACCGUGCAAAUUACUUGCAAUAUAUGAGUAUAGGGGCGACAGACUAAUCGAACUAUCUAGUAGCUGGUUCCACCUGAAUAUUCCCUUAGGAAGGUUGAAGUGAGAAAGUAGUGAAGAUUGGUAAAGAUAAUGAUUGGAUGUAAUGGAGAGCUUGACUUUUCAACAUUUUAACAAACUAUGAAUAGUCGAGAUAUCCUAAACGAUAAACAUUUAUUAGGAGUGAGCAUAUGCGGACUUCAAAUCGGCCAAGUCUGGUAAGCAGGACUGGCGAUGCGGGAUGAACCGAACAUACAGAUAAAGUAUCCAAGUCUUGCAUGAGGAGAACCAUAAAAGGGGUUCAUUCACAUUGAAUCCAGGUUGAUGGCCAUGGAAGUUGGAAAUCGCUAAGGAGUGUGUAACAACUCACCGAUCGAAUGGAUAAGCCUGAAAAUGGAAGGUAUUAUAAUGAGAGAAGUGAUAUUGUAUCCUUGUGGAGGCUGAGGCACACGAGGAGUAAGGAAAUGCAUGGUGUCAAGAAUACGUGAGUGAUAAAGGCAGAGAAGUAAUUUCUAUUGAAACAGACUUGAGUACAGAUCUUGGU